GAGAAUUGAACAAGCUCACUGUGCAGAUGGUCAAUAAAAUCAUGUAGUUUUUUUCUGUACAUAACUAAUUACUAUUGAUAUUUAUCAACAGAACACAAAAAGCAUACAUCUAAGAACCAAACAAAAAAUACUCUGCAAGAUCUUGACACAGAAAACUACAAAACCUGGUGGGGAGAAAUGUAAGAACCUCUGAUAAAGGAGCAACUGAGCACGUUCAUGAAGAGGAUUCAUGUUAUAAAGUCGUUGCUUUGUUACCACUCCAGGGAGAGACUGGUGACAUCCUAUUUCUUGGCCGGUGGCCCCCUCCUGCCCCUGUGUCUCCACCUCGGACCCUCUGAGUGCCACCUGUGUCUUCAUCUUAUUAGUGCCAGAAAAAAUCACAGGAUGAUCAGCUCAGGAUGCCAGAUACAGAAUUCUUAGUGGAAACGGCUCCACUGAAGUGUAUUAGUGGUGGUGACUGAAUGAUUGUCCCAAACCCAGAAUACCAGCUACUGCACAGUUAUUUUUAACUCCACGCCUGCUUAGUGGUGAUGAGACAGACAAGUUAACAGAUGAUUGCAACAGACAAGGGCUGACUGGACACAUCAGAAGUGCUCUGAGGUGGUUGAAGAAGCAGUAAGUAACCAUUGUACUAGACUGUGUUGCCCAUGUAACUGUCUGGGUUUGGAUGUAUUCCCUUAUAAAGUAAUUCUCUGCUUAUUAUUCUCCUGAUUCAAAAGUGAGAUCAUAAAAGUAUGAAAGUCUUGGUCUGUCACACAUAACCACCAGUAGGAGCUGCACUAGGCAGAAUAAUAGUCUGUCAAGGAUGUCCAUGUCCCUGUGGGAUGAAGAUUGCUAACCAACUGUUUACAUUUUUUCCCUGGAACAUAAUUAUUUACUAUUUGACUGCGUCGGGUCUUAGUUGUGGCAUGCGGGAUCUUUAGGUGUGGCAUGUUGGAGCUACUUCCCUGACCAAAGAUCGAACCCAAGCCCCCUGCAUUAGGAGCUCGGAGUCUUAGUCAUUGGAUCACCAGGGAAGCCCCAGCUCUUCUUAAGAUAUGGAUCUUAUCUUAGACUCUCUAGUUCGUUCAAUAUAAUCACAAGGGAAAAGGGAAACGGAAGUUCAGAGUCAGAGAAGGUUUUGAAGGUGCUGUUCUGCUGGCUUUGGAGACAGAGGAAGCACACCCCCAGGAAAACGGAUGGCCUUCAGAAGCUGCUAAGGUGAGGAAGCAGCCUCUCCUGGAGAUUCCAGAAGGAACGCGGCCCUGACGGCAGCUCCAUGUUGGCUCAUUAGCCCGUUUUAGACUUCUCACCUCCACUGUAAAAUGUAUAAAUGUGUAAAAUGUAUAAAUGUAU